GCGUCUAUCGUAUAGUGGCCUAAUAUCACUGGUUUCCACCCAGUAGACCGGGAUUCGAAUUCCCGUAGACGCUCCA
rnacentral:tRNA from 5 species